rnacentral:rRNA from 1 species
CUCGAAGCGCGUCGUGGUAUUUCGCGUAUUGUAAUUUCAACACGAGCGGGGUCAAAUCCUUUGCAGACGACUUAGCUGUGCGAAACGGUCCUGUAAGCAGUAGAGUAGCCUUGUUGUUACGAUCUGCUGAGGGUAAGCCGUCCUUCGCCUCGAUUUCCCCAAUGGGUUCUCCGGAUUUCUGGAGACUUGUAGGGGUUGUGGGUUUUUUCGAUGUGUCGUCUCCGGACGGGCGGUGCAGGGUAGUCGAGUUAGACUUGGUGGAAUUCGAUUCCGUCGAGUAUGGCUGGCACGAUCGUGUGCGGUUGUGUGUUGGACGGUGCAGGGUAGGCUGCUUGGACAUGGUCGGUUCGAGGAUCGAUUCGAGGGCCGGCCUGUCGAUGAUGUGUGAUGUAUGCGGUCUAGGGUAGGCUGGUUUGCCUUGGUCCAAUUUGAUGUCGGCUCCCGUGCAGGCCAGAGUGAGGGGGGUCCAGGGUAGGUACAGGGUAGGCAGCUUAGAUUUGGUCGAUCUGGAGGUCGAUUCUCCGGCUGGCGGAUCUGACACUGUCGA